AUUGAACGCUGGCGGCAGGCCUAACACAUGCAAGUCGAGCGAGCGGCGGACGGGUGCGUAAUGCCUGGGCAUGGCCAAGUCGCGGGGGAUAACAGUUGGCAACGGCUGCUAAUACCGCAUAGGAUUGGAUUGCCCAGGUGGGAUUAGCGAGUUGGUGAGGUAAUGGCUCACCAAGGCGACGAUCCCUAGCUGGUCUGAGAGGAUGAUCAGCCACACUGGAAUUGAGACACGGUCCAGACUCCUACGGGAGGCAGCAGUGGGGAAUAUUGCACAAUGGGGGAAACCCUGAUGCAGCCAUGCCGCGUGUGUGAAGAAGGCCUUCGGAUUGUAAAGCACUUUCAGCAAGGAGGCGUUACUCAAAGAAGAAGCACCGGCUAACUCCGUGCCAGCAGCCGCGGUAAUAC
rnacentral:rRNA from 1 species